rnacentral:rRNA from 1 species
AUGAUCUAGCUUGCUAGAUUGAUGGCGAGUGGCGAACGGGUGAGUAAUACAUCGGAACGUGCCCUGUAGUGGGGGAUAACUAGUCGAAAGAUUAGCUAAUACCGCAUACGACCUGAGGGUGAAAGUGGGGGACCGCAAGGCCUCAUGCUAUAGGAGCGGCCGAUGUCUGAUUAGCUAGUUGGUGAGGUAAAGGCUCACCAAGGCGACGAUCAGUAGCUGGUCUGAGAGGACGAUCAGCCACACUGGGACUGAGACACGGCCCAGACUCCUACGGGAGGCAGCAGUGGGGAAUUUUGGACAAUGGGGGCAACCCUGAUCCAGCAAUGCCGCGUGUGUGAAGAAGGCCUUCGGGUUGUAAAGCACUUUUGUCCGGAAAGAAAUCGCACUUACUAAUAUUAGGUGUGGAUGACGGUACCGGAAGAAUAAGGACCGGCUAACUACGUGCCAGCAGCCGCGGUAAUACGUAGGGUCCAAGCGUUAAUCGGAAUUACUGGGCGUAAAGCGUGCGCAGGCGGUUGUGCAAGACCGAUGUGAAAUCCCCGGGCUUAACCUGGGAAUUGCAUUGGUGACUGCACGGCUAGAGUGUGUCAGAGGGGGGUAGAAUUCCACGUGUAGCAGUGAAAUGCGUAGAGAUGUGGAGGAAUACCGAUGGCGAAGGCAGCCCCCUGGGAUAACACUGACGCUCAUGCACGAAAGCGUGGGGAGCAAACAGGAUUAGAUACCCUGGUAGUCCACGCCCUAAACGAUGUCAACUAGUUGUUGGGGAUUCAUUUCCUUAGUAACGUAGCUAACGCGUGAAGUUGACCGCCUGGGGAGUACGGUCGCAAGAUUAAAACUCAAAGGAAUUGACGGGGACCCGCACAAGCGGUGGAUGAUGUGGAUUAAUUNCGAUGCANCGCGAAAAANCUUACCUACCCUUGACAUGCCACUAACGAAGCAGAGAUGCAUUAGGUGCUCGAAAGAGAAAGUGGACACAGGUGCUGCAUGGCUGUCGUCAGCUCGUGUCGUGAGAUGUUGGGUUAAGUCCCGCAACGAGCGCAACCCUUGUCUCUAGUUGCUACGAAAGGGCACUCUAGAGAGACUGCCGGUGACAAACCGGAGGAAGGUGGGGAUGACGUCAAGUCCUCAUGGCCCUUAUGGGUAGGGCUUCACACGUCAUACAAUGGUGCAUACAGAGGGUUGCCAAGCCGCGAGGUGGAGCUAAUCCCAGAAAAUGCAUCGUAGUCCGGAUCGUAGUCUGUAACUCGACUACGUGAAGCUGGAAUCGCUAGUAAUCGCGGAUCAGC